GAACGCAGCCCAAUACGUUACUCUGUGAACGUACACAGGUUAGAAUUUUAGUUGUCAAGUCAAUGUCAAGUGUCAAACCGACCGAGUAAAUUUCAGCGCAAGGGCACAUGCCGUAUAAAUUUUAUAUUAUUUGCUAUGUAAACAAUCUAAAACCAAAAAGCUGCAACCGUUUACCUAAUGUAAUUACCAGAAAAAUGUAUAUCAACACACAAUAAGUUAUACAUACAUAGCCUACAAUGUAAAAAUUCUCCUGCUGAGGGGGGAGAAUGUAACGAGCCGUUACCAAACCAUCCACCGCACCUACCCACAUACCGAAGCCACAAGAGCGCCCGCGAGUCGAGGUGGGGCAGCACACAGGCGACUCCGGAGAAUACAAGGGGCGCGGGGCGACCCGCUUAUAAAUAGCCGCCGGACCGCCGCCCGGCCACCAUUCGUCACCUCCAGCUCCGGCGAGUGAUCAGUCCGUUCCCGAUAUCCUUCCCCGCACCUAUAUCUAUCUAAGUAUCUAUUCACGCACACUAAGCUCACAACACCGUCCUCCCUACGCUGUGGGUCGCCUACUAGCGGAUCGAGGUUCCCCGGAAUACACGGACGCCUGGGUCGCCUAGUUUAAAGCGGCCGUGUACCGAACUAUACAAUCGCUGAACACACACCGGCCCUCAGCCACACGUUCUUAUCAACACA